AAAGUUCUUUACGAUGAAGAACUAGCGAUUCACAUCGACCCCGAGUCAUGCGGUGGCACUCGCGAGGGUGUCACCGAAGCGUUGACAGGGGCGCACGUAGGCCAGCCAUUGAGCGAGGAAAGACUUUCCAAUCGGAGUGCUGAUGCUUUCCAGUCAGCAGAAGGCAAUACUGAGCAUCGGCUUGAGCGGCAGCUUCUGAGCGGCAGCCGCAUCGGAGCUCG
rfam:Candidatus Burkholderia humilis strain TZHbot5 BHTMctg7, whole genome shotgun sequence.